CUUUCUUUUUCAUUUCGCGCUUACGAGAAAUUGCGGCUGCCAUAUUUCAUCCAAAAAAGGGACUAUUCAGUGAACAUUAACAGUGAGAAACUGAACAGGAAAAAACUUAUUUACCAGAUGUUGUUGGAAGUGAUGAAAUUUCAAGUACACAAGAACUUAUCCUAGAAGGCAUUAAUGCAGUGAAUAAUAUAUGAAGUGAACAACGAAGGACGAUUAGUUCCCCUUGUUGGAAGAAAAGAAGUUGACUACACAGAAGCUCAAAUAUCAAAUCCCCAAAAAAAUCUAUUUCAAUCAGAGCAAUUAUUUUCCCAUCCACAGACUCAACCACAAUGU